UUCCCAAUGACUCAGUGGUUAAAGAACCUGCUUGCAAUGCAGGAGAUUCAGGAGACCUGGGUUCGAUCCCUGGGUGGGAAG
rnacentral:tRNA from 1 species